rnacentral:rRNA from 1 species
UAGGGAAUCUUCCACAAUGGACGAAAGUCUGAUGGAGCAACGCCGCGUGGGUGAAGAAGGGUUUCGGCUCGUAAAACUCUGUUGUUAAAGAAGAACAUAUCUGAGAGUAACUGUUCAGGUAUUGACGGUAUUUAACCAGAAAGCCACGGCUAACUACGUGUCAG